rnacentral:tRNA from 1 species
UCUAAUGUGGCAGAAUAGUGCAAUGAAUUUAAGCUUCAUUUAAGAGUAAUAACUCCUUUAGA